rnacentral:lncRNA from 1 species
AAGAUGGACAGAAGGAGUGUGCUUUUUUUUGCUUAAAUAUGGCUGGUGAAUAUCCCUGAAAACACAGCAACCCACAUCCUGGUUGACCACUGCUGUUCACCUCAUCAAAAAGAGUGACUUCAGAAAGGUAGGAACCUUCAGUUUGCUGUGAGGAUGCUGCUCCUCUGCCUCAUGUUUGCAGGUGCUGGAGAACAAAGCCAGUCCUAGCAUAAACAGGGACUUCUGACACUCCCAGCUGAAGUACAAGAAAAGGACUUCACACAACUGAAGUACAAGAAAAGACUUUCUGCUACAUUUUAGAAACCAAAGUGAAGUGGUGGACAUAGGAUGCUUGGAUACCUGUCUAAUACAGCAUCAAGACACAGCUGAAGUUUACACCCAGCCCUGUUUAACUAACUUUAUGUUUCUCAUUACCUGAAUCAACAAAUAGCUUUAAGAUGGCUGCAUGGAUACUACUCUCAUGAAUUGUUUUCUAUAAUUCAGAACCUGGAAUGCUACCUUCAGAUUAUGGAAGCUGGCAAAAUUCAUAACCUGGCAAAAGGGAAAAUAUUCACAUAAUUCCCUCGGCAAGAAACCAAAUCAAACUAUUCUUUUUAAUUGCAGGUGAGUAAUAGCACUCUUACAUUUCAUGCAAAUAACGUC